rnacentral:lncRNA from 1 species
ACCAUCCAUCCUCCCGCUGACCUUCCAGAUGACUGCAGGUGCAUGAGCACGUCCAGCAGGGAUCAGCUGAGCAAAAUCAGCUCACCGAAUCAUAUUUUAAUACAAAUGGGACCAGCUAAAAUGAACUUCAAGGAGAUUUUGAAAAGGAAAGGAGAGUGGAAAGACAUCACAAAGAAACAAAAUAAGCAGUCUUAAGUCUGCAAGAGAUGCACUGCGGAAGGUUUGUUCU